ensembl:lncRNA
GUUAACGCAUUUUAACAGGAAGAGCUGCAGCUCAGUGUAUGGCUGUAGGCAAUCUUCUGGGGGGGGGGGGGAAAAUUGGGCAAAACUGUCCUGCCUUUUCUCAUAAUACACUAUUCCAACCCUUAGAGCAUGUCAUUUCCUGUUAUACACCAAGCAACUGCAUUGGUUCCUUAAAAGGAUAAGGAUAAGAAGCAGACAGUGGACUGAACCAGCUGUGACAGAAUGGCCUUUUUACUAACAGCAGCCAUGGUUUUCCAGACUUUACUGGGAAAUGCUGCUGGAGAAGGAUGGGAAUCAUAUAACAAUUUUUCCAUUUGGAACUACACAUUUUAUUUAUACGACAAUUACACAGAUGAUUAUCCUCCAGAAAACUCCACAGAUUAUUAUUAUUAUCCAGAAUACCCCACAGAUUAUCCUCCAGAAUACCGCACAGAUUAUUAUAGUGAAUUCGAAACUUCACUUGGAAAGGAUUUGACAAAGUCUGCAGGAUCAUCACUCCAGGGCCAUCUUCCCUUCUUAUUUGUCCUUCUCCAUCUUCUAUGUUUUUUGCUACAACAAUUCACACUUCUUUUGUAGAAGGUACUGAGGUUCUGUAUUGUUACUUGGGUAUUUGCGUGUCAUCAUUGUUGAUUCCUGAUCCAGCAAACAGUUCACUAGUUUCCAAGGCAGCAGCAGGCUGUGUGCUAUAACUCCAAGUGGAAAUUACAACUCAUUCUGAGCACCCAAAUAUGUGCUAGGAAUUUCAAAGCUGAAAGAAAGGAUCCUGUCCCUGCUACAUAAAGCUUGCAAUGUAAAAACCAGAUAGGACACUAGUGAGAGCCAAAGUCAGACAAAAAAGGGGAAAGAAAGAAAGGAAAGGAGUACAAAAAUUAGAUUAUGCAGUAACUUGGUAAGACAUGGAAACACCUUGGUGUAUCCAUUAAUUUCAGUUAUGGGGGUAAUUGGCUAGGCUUUCGCAAGUGACAUGGCAGAGGCGAGUUCUAAGAAAGGAUCCAAAUGAGGUUGGAGUGAAGGCUUGGCAAAUGAAGUUACAAAAGCUGGGAAUGGGAGAAAGAAAUGAAGGGGGAAAUCAAGGCUGAUAUCAAUGGCAGAAUGGAAAAAACUGGGGGAAUGCAAAGGGAGACAAGGUUGGAGAUGAAAGCAAGGGUAAGGACCUUGAAAUUGAUAUGUAGUGCAAAGUAGAGCUGGUGGAUGGGUAUGAAUUAGGGGAUGAGAUGAUCAAAAUGACAGGUGGGAAAGAUGAUUUGGUGGCAGAGUUUUGGAUGGACUGAGGAGAGACAUGGUAAGCACCCUGAAGACCAGAGAAGAGUCCGCAAUAGUCAAUGUCACAGUUUAGUAGGAUACGGACAAGUCAUUUAAGAUAAAAUUUUCAAAAUCGCCUAAGUGAUUUAUGAGCCUAAUUCCCAUUGACUUUUGGGACAAAACUUUUGUCAUAGCUCCAUCAAGUUCAAUGGACAAUUUACACCAGGUGAGGAUUUGCCUCUGAGAUUUCAGUAGUCAUGAUUCAAGACUCUUCCAAACACACAGUGACUAUAUGUAAAUCUCAUCCUCAAAAAAUCCAUCUUCAUUAGAUCCUAGCAAAUGGUCUCAUAUAUAAAAUGUUGACUUCUCUUUAUCGGAACAGUUUUAUUGUCCUUUGCAUUCUUUGAGCUGUGCUCAGUUCCACUAAAUCUGAUUUGAUGUUUGCUCCUAGAAUUUACUAAGUUUGGGGUACAGCUAUGCAAACUGUUCAUAAUAAAAUCCAAGCUCCAUUGACUUCA